ACAGCACUCUAAAUUCGUCACUUCAGGAGCACUGUGCCACAUGUGUAGCCCAUUUAACCGUUUAAAUGAUUUUGUGUCAUGGCCCCCUUCCAGCAGCCUCCCCUUGCUGCGACAGCGUAGCUGGCCAUCGUGGCGAGAGCGCUGGGCUUGACCCCUCUCAUCCAGCUCCCAGGUCCUGGCGGCAGGACCUUCGGCCUCCCCACUCUCACACCUUCAUCGCGCACCCACGUGUUGGUCUGACUUGGAGCCCAAAGCUUCCAGGAGGACAGCUCCAAGGGUUUUGUUUAUUUUCUGUGUGGCUGGCUGCGCGAUGAAGAGCUGUCUCAUUUUCAGAUUGUUAAAUGUGCAUAUUGCGUUAGUCUAUAAAGCAUUGGUCCCACAACCCGCACUGAAAGUUUAUUUCCUUUUUAAUUCAGGGACUGUAGGACUUCCCAAUACUAUUUAGAGUAACAAGCGACAAGCAUGCUGUUCCCACCCUCCCCUCUUCCCUAAUACCAAGCUUGUGUGCAUCUGUUUUGGGUUUUUCUCAUUUCCUUUGGGGAUGGGUAUGACUUGGCAUGACUCUCUGAAAAGCCUGGAAGUUUUUCUUUGGAGGUUGCUGGCCCAAAUGUUGCAGUACCAAAAUGCAAUGGAAGUGAGAGGAGCUGCUCCAGUGAGUGCUGCAGGUAGCAGUGGCGGGAAGCUCCUCAGAGCCCUUGGUCUCGUGCCCUUCCCAGCUGUCUCAGCACUGGAAUAUGCACAACGGGUAACAGGCACAACGAGCUCAGCAGACCAGGAGAGGAGCCAGCAGGACCUACAGUGCAGGUAGCUGUGCCCACCAUGCCUUCACCUAGGGAGAUUUAAAUCUGAUAUGUCACAAAUAUAUGAUAUAUCAUCUGAUAGGUCACAAAUCACUGCAUCGAAAGGACUUCAGGUAACUGUGAAUCCCAAGUAAAACGCUUCCGGUGCUGGUGUCUGAUUCAGCCUGUCCAAGUAGGAGGGCAAUGUAUAAAUGGGUCUAGGGAGCAGACAAAGAUUUUAUCCACCAGCCAUGCAAGUAUAUAUCAGCAACCCAGGUGGAUUGCAGAGAUAAUUGCUUGUCCAAGAUUAUGUUUCUACCGCACAGGUUGGCUACAGUGACUCAUGGGCUGCCUAAACUACGCUGCCCGCUGAGGUCCAUCAAAAACCAGUCCUACAGCCAUGUCCCCUGCAGCAGCCCUGGAAAAAGCCAGAAGAAAUGAGAAAGCAGAGCCUCUGUGCACACCAAAAACCCAGGUGCAGCUGGGCCUCCGAGGUGCUUUGCGCAGCGCAGGAGUGGGCUCUUCUCCAGGGAGCCUCCAUCCAAGGUGAUAAGGCAGACAAAGCAAGCACGGAGAAAAAUAGGCUCUUGGCGGAGAAGUGACAAGCUGCAUGCAAUGGGACACAGGAGACACCCACUCCCUGCCCCGUGCGUUGCACCGUGAUGAAUGAUCAACCUCCUCUGUGCAGCGAGACACCUGGACCUGGUGCUGUUCCCCUGGGUGCGGAGCAGAGGGUCACGUCCUGAUGCCCGUCGGCUGCGGUCAGAGAUGGAUGGGUCAGAAUUGUUAGGCAGAUGGAAGAAAUCACCAAGGCAGACAGUCCUGUGUUUCCAUAAAAGCUUGGGAUAGCCACAUUAAGGAAGAUGGCCUGAAAAAAACAAACAUGAAAAUUAUACUGAGCACACCUAAAAGCACUACCCUGGGGCAAAAGUGUGAAGUCACUGAAGAAACAAGGGAGUUGGAGACAGAACAGCAGUGGGACCCUGGCUUCACCCUCAGAGCUGCAUGUCAGUGACACCCAAUGGCACACGGACAGGGAGAUGGAGCAGUGACAGCGUGGCCAGCUCCAGGCAGUAAAAGAUUGAAACUCCAACCCACCCAAUGCAAUUCCUGUAAACACAAUGUACCGUGAGAUUGAGCAGCAAUGUGUUUGGGAACCUUGAUCCUUCCCAUUUCAGGACUGGUGAAACUGGUCAAAAAUGUGAGUGGUUGCAGAGUGGUUCAUCUAACAGGGCUGGGAUUUUAGCCCAGACCAAACAGUAGGCCAUGUUCAAUUGAUAAAGCCGUGGUGCAUAUUCCCCCACAGAGAUUUUUCUUACCUUCCACAAGGUAGGAUGCACAGGGCAUCCUUGCCAGGGUUUAAUGCUCCUCGUGGACUUGGGGUUGGGAGGUUCAGCUGAGACAGUUGUUACUGAGGAAAAUGCAAACACGGAGCUCACAGUAGGGAAACGGUGUUGAUACCCCAGCUAAAACCUUCACCAUCAAAGCAUCCUGUCUCAGGGAUCAUUUUAUUCUCAGAAAGUGGGACAUAAAUACAGAGUUAAUUGUGACCGGAAUCCAUGGCAAUAACCUGUUUAUGGGAAAGCUCCAUCCCUAGUCUAGAAGAGCUGUAAUCUUACUCUGCCAUCUAAAAUUUGUUGCUUUAUUAAGAUUACAUUCUCUGCCCUCCCCAAAAAGUGAGUUAGUUUGAUAUGUUUAUUGCCCUUUGUCAGGAUGGCCAUAUUUUUUUCUGCUUUGAAAAUAGAUGUUACUGCUUAUAUGGCUGUAUAUUUAUCCUUUCUUUUAGCUUUUUCAUUACUGUUCCCUUUAAUCAUUUAAUGAGGAGUGUUCAGGUUCCUGAUGAUUUAAAAUUAUGACUCACAGAGACACUGGCAAUAUCUUUGCUGGAGUAACGUUGAUCCUCUAACUUUAAGACUUUAAAUUCAAACCACAUGUUUUUGCCACUAACUCUGAAAACAACCCCUGGAGUUGUGUGACUGUCACUAGAAUAUAAACCAUAGCUAUUCUGUAACCCUCUGCAAACAAAAGCCGCAGUAUUUAAAUUGCGGUUAUGGUCAGAGAAGUGACUAUUUUAAUCAUUGCUCUGGUUUACUCGGGAGAUCUGCUCCCUCUGCACAUUCCAAAUAUCUCUGCAGAUUUUUAUAGACUGAAAUGAGAUUUUACUGCUUUCCACUCCUCUUAGCCCUACAGAGGCCAGACAACGCGGGGCGAGUGAGCCAGAUUUGUUCCAGACUCACACAUCAACAUAGCUGUUAGCCGAAUUCCAGCGGCAGGACCUGUGUAACUGAUGAUGUGCCCGCCAGGGCAAGCAGCUACACUUUUGUGUCCCCAGGGAGCUCUCGGGGUGCGUGGCAGUUAGGGGUAAAGAACGAGAACCUAAAACACGGUGUUCUCCCUAUAAAGUAGAUUGUUUUGAAAUGGAAAAAAAAAAAUCCCUGAGAGGCCUCUUGGGCUGAAAGGGCUCUUUGAACACAGCUACCUGGAUGCCACCCUGCCCCAGGAGCAGAGGCUCGGAGAGAAGGAAAUCAUGUUUAAAAAAAUGGCAUUACAUGCAGAAGUUGAAGAUGCGUAAGUCUUACAGGGAUUUUUCUGCUGGGUUUUGAGGAGAUAAUUCACUUUUUGAACAUCUCCCUUACAUGAACAGUUUCUUGCAGCCUUUUGGGUGCUGAGCUUCAGCCUCUUGGGACUUGCAUAAAGUGGUUCGCUGCCUCCCCCCGCCACUCAAGCCCCUUUUUUUGUGUGUUUGCUGCAUCAAGAAUAAAUCCCAUUUAGAAGGUGGCUGCUUUAACUCACUAUCUGCAUUUACGAUAUGUAAUAUAUGUGUUUUGUUCCUGCAAAAAACUCCUAUUGCAGUAUCACGAAUGUUACUCUGAUAAAUGUGUAUUCAAAAUAAACGUUGGUAGGA